rnacentral:rRNA from 1 species
AACGAACGCUGGCGGCAUGCCUAACACAUGCAAGUCGAACGAAGGCUUCGGCCUUAGUGGCGCACGGGUGCGUAACGCGUGGGAAUCUGCCCUUGGGUUCGGAAUAACAGCGGGAAACUGCUGCUAAUACCGGAUGAUGACGUAAGUCCAAAGAUUUAUCGCCCAAGGAUGAGCCCGCGUAGGAUUAGCUAGUUGGUGGGGUAAAGGCCCACCAAGGCGACGAUCCUUAGCUGGUCUGAGAGGAUGAUCAGCCACACUGGGACUGAGACACGGCCCAGACUCCUACGGGAGGGAGCAGGGGGGAAUAUUGGACAAUGGGCGAAAGCCUGAUCCAGCAAUGCCGCGUGAGUGAUGAAGGCCUUAGGGUUGUAAAGCUCUUUUACCCGGGAUGAUAAUGACAGUACCGGGAGAAUAAGCUCCGGCUAACUCCGUG